CCCCUAGAUGUUCUGGGCCGCACGCGCGCUACACUGAACAGUUCAACAAGUCUUAACCUUGGCCGAUAGGUCUGGGUAAUCUUUGAACGCUGUUCGUGAUUGGGAUAGACCUUUGCAAUUAUGGGUCUUCAACGAGGAAUUCCUAGUAAACGCAAGUCAUCAGCUUGCAUUGAUUACGUCCCUGCCCUUUGUACACACCGCCCGUCGCUCCUACCGAUUGAGCAAUCCGGUGAAUACUUCGGACCGGUUACUUGGUUGGUUCGCUAACCUUGUGACUGGAAAGUCGAGUGAACCUUAUUGCUUAGAGGAAGGAGAAGUCGUAACA
rnacentral:rRNA from 1 species